AUACAUACCUGGCAGGGAUAAUACUAUGAUCACAAAGGUGGUUUCCCCAGGGCGAGGAUCAGCCAUUGCAUUUCGGUUGACUGACCUCUGCGUAUUCCCCAAAUGUGGGAAUCUCGGUUGCAUAGUUUCUGGUUGUGGGGGACUGCGUACGCACGCUCUCCUG
rnacentral:snRNA from 1 species